UCGGUAGAGGGGUUUUGAUUAUCUCUCUGCCUGAGCUAACGCGUUAAGUGCCCCGCCUGGGGAGUACGGCCGCAAGGCUAAAACUCAAAAGAAUUGACGGGGGCUCGCACAAGCGGUGGAGCAUGUGGCUUAAUUCGAUGCAACACGAAGAACCUUACCGGGGCUUGACAUGGUAGAAGUAGGAGCCCGAAAGGGUAACGAACGGUAUCCAGUCCGUAGCUAUCACAGGUGUUGCAUGGCUGUCGUCAGCUCGUGUCGUGAGACGUUGGGUUAAGUCCCCUAACGAGCGAAACCCUUGUCUUUAGUUGCCAACAGGUCAAGCUGGGCACUCUAAAGAGACUGCUGUCGUCAAGACGGAGGAAGGUGGGGAUGACGUCAAGUCAUCAUGGUCCUUAUGUCCCGGGCUGCACACGUGCUACAAUGGUCGGUACAAAGGGAUGCCAAGUCGCAAGACGGAGCGAAACCCAAAUAAAGCCGAUCCCAGUUCAGAUUGGAGGCUGAAACCCGCCUCCAUGAAGUAGGAAUCGCUAGUAAUCGCGGAUCAGCUAUGCCGCGGUGAAUAUGUUCCCGAGCCUUGUACACACCGCCCGUCAAGCCACCCAAGCAAGAUGCACCCGAAGCCACUGGCCUAACCCGCAAGGGACGGAAGUGUCUAAGGUGUGUUUUGUGAGGAGGACUAAGUCGUAACAAGGUAACCGUA
rnacentral:rRNA from 1 species